rnacentral:lncRNA from 1 species
CCGGCCUUUCAAACCCGGCAGAGACCGGGACACCCUUUCCCACGCCACCCCAGACCCGGGUUGACCUGUUUCCCGUGGGAGCCCCUCCUUGAGUGAAGUAUGGUAAAGUCGGUCCCUCCUCCCGACCAAUGGAGGGCGCAAGAGUGCGUAGCGCGAAGACUGGGAAAACUGUUGGGUACGGAAGUGAUGUCAGGCACCGGAAGUGCACGAGUUUGACGGACUGGGCUGGUGAGUUCCGGCUUCUAGGAGACUUAUAAUCACGGUUCCGCUAGGCUGUAGUGAAGAGGUUCGUUUCUUCCCGACAGCCUUAAUGUUCAGAUGAGAAAGAUGAGGGUCCUAGAGGAAGGGGUUUCUCAUAUUCACUCAGCAAGAAACUCCCGAGACCAGCGCGCUUUCCACACGACUCCUCUGGGCGGAGGACUAUCCCUGAGGUCCUAUCAUGCUUGUGUUUCAGAAGCAUACAAGGCUUCCUACUUCAGAAUUGGCUUUCUCUUUCAAGGCCCUCAAUGAGUCUUCUGCAUUCAGCUCCUUGAGGACUGAGGGACUCAACUCUGCAUCACAGUAUCAACCACAAGGCCCCAGUAAGUACUCAAUAAAUGCCUAAGAAAUUACCUUCCAAUGCCAUUUAUUG